CCGAGCCUCAGCAGCGGUUUGGCAGGAGACCUCCUGAGAAGAACAUGUAACCCACAAAAUAUAGCCAGUGACCAAGGCUGCUCACAACUUUGCUUCUUGUGAGAAAUAAAGAAGAUGAUGGUCUUAAAAUGGUUUUACUAGAAGAAACUCCCCCCGUUCCUGGAAUAUACCAGUUGUGUUUUUACUCGUGCCAUUCUGAGGAGUAAAAUGAUAAAUCCAGAGGGUUUACCACUGAUCUCUGGGGAGACAAAGCAGCAUGGCUCAUGUGAUAUGUCUCCUUAUCUCCUGUGUCGUUGCCUCUCCGUCCUUUUUUGGACUCCCUGGCUGGCCGUCCGGAGGUUUCCAUGAUGACUGAUCACAUUACAUUUGGGGGUAGGACAGGGAAACCACACAGGGCUUCAGAGCUGUGAGUGGGUGUGUUGCAAUCAGUAAUUGGCUGUACAUUUGUUCCAUAUAUUCCCUUGAAGCCUCAGGGCUCGAGCCUAAAUUUACUCCUGCUCUUCUGGCAUGUGAAGAACCCCGCAGAUGCAUCAUGAGACCCUGACCUUCCCCCGACACACCCUCGGUAGUGAAAAUGCUUUGAAUAUACAAACUGAGGUCUGUCGUUGAGAUUUUAAGUUUGUAAGGAUUGUAAUAACCAUAUUUAACAAUUAUUUUCUGUUUAUUUUGUUUGUCUGCCUUUUUUUUCACUUGGUUUU